AUUUAAAGAGUGCGUAAUAGCUCACUGGUCGAGUGACUCUGCGCCGAAAAUGUACCGGGGCUAAACGUAUCACCGAAGCUGUGGAUUGACAUCUUUGAUGUCAGUGGUAGGAGAGCGUUCUAAGUGCUGUGAAGUCAGACCGUAAGGACUGGUGGAGCGCUUAGAAGUGAGAAUGCCGGUAUGAGUAGCGAAAGACAAGUGAGAAUCUUGUCCACCGAAUGCC
rnacentral:rRNA from 2 species